GCUUCUCACUGCGCUGCUGCGGAUGCCGCAAGAUAAAAAAUCUUCCGAUUUUCAUUUGUAGUUGCUUUGAAAUUU